CCCCUAGAUGUUCUGGGCCGCACGCGCGCUACACUGAACAGUUCAACAAGUCUUAACCUUGGCCGAUAGGUCUGGGUAAUCUUUGAACGCUGUUCGUGAUUGGGAUAGACCUUUGCAAUUAUGGGUCUUCAACGAGGAAUUCCUAGUAAACGCAAGUCAUCAGCUUGCAUUGAUUACGUCCCUGCCCUUUGUACACACCGCCCGUCGCACCUACCGAUUGAAUGGUCCGGUGAAGACUCGGGAUCGUGGCUUAGUUGCUUAAUUGUGAUUAGACCGUGAGAACCUGUCUAAACCUUAUCAUUUAGAGGAAGGUGAAGUCGUAACA
rnacentral:rRNA from 1 species